rnacentral:rRNA from 1 species
AUUGAACGCUGGCGGCAUGCUUUACACAUGCAAGUCGAACGGCAGCGCGGGCUUCGGCCUGGCGGCGAGUGGCGAACGGGUGAGUAAUGCAUCGGAACGUGCCCAGUAGUGGGGGAUAGCCCGGCGAAAGCCGGAUUAAUACCGCAUACGACCUGAGGGUGAAAGCGGGGGACCGAAAGGCCUCGCGCUAUUGGAGCGGCCGAUGUCGGAUUAGCUAGUUGGUGGGGUAAAGGCUUACCAAGGCGACGAUCCGUAGCUGGUCUGAGAGGACGACCAGCCACACUGGGACUGAGACACGGCCCAGACUCCUACGGGAGGCAGCAGUGGGGAAUUUUGGACAAUGGGGGCAACCCUGAUCCAGCCAUGCCGCGUGCGGGAAGAAGGCCUUCGGGUUGUAAACCGCUUUUGUUCGGGAAGAAAUCCUCUGGGCUAAUACCCCGGGGGGAUGACGGGACCGGAAGAAUAAGCACCGGCUAACUACG